rnacentral:rRNA from 1 species
GAAAAAUAACGAUACAGGUCUCUUUCGAGGCCCUGUAAUCGGAAUGAGCGUAUCCUAAACCCAUGGGUGAGGACCCAUUGGAGGGCAAGUCUGGUGCCAGCAGCCGCGGUAAUUCCAGCUCCAAUAGCGUAUUUUAAAGUUGCUGCAGUUAAAAAGCUCGUAGUUGGAUCUCGGGAGUGGGCUGGCGGACCGCCGCGAGGCGAGCCACCUCCUGUCCCAACCCCCCUGAAUCUUGCCGGUGCCCCCCGGAUGCCCUUGGCUGGGUGUCCGCGAACUCUUUGGGGCUCGGAGCGUUUACUUUGAAAAAAUUAGAGUGUUCAAAGCGGGCAAAGCUCUCCUCGCCUGAAUACCCUGAGCUAGGAAUAAUGGAAUAGGACUCCGGUUCUAUUUCGUGGGUUUCGUUGGACCGGGGCCAUGAUUAAGAGGGACGGCCGGGGGCAUUCGUAUUGCGCCGCUAGAGGUGAAAUUCUUGGACCGGCGCAAGACGGACGAAAGCGAAAGCAUUUGCCAAGAAUGUUUUCUUUAAUCAAGAACGAAAGUCGGAGG